CUGCUGCCUCCCGUAGGAGUUUGGGCCGUGUCUCAGUCCCAAUGUGGCCGUUCACCCUCUCAGGCCGGCUACUGAUCGUCGCCUUGGUGGGCCUUUACCCCGCCAACCAGCUAAUCAGACGCGGAUCCAUCGUAUACCACCGGAGUUUUUCACACUGCUUCAUGCGAAGCUGUGCGCUUAUGCGGUAUUAGCACCUAUUUCUAAGUGUUAUCCCCCAGUAUACGGCAGGUUCUCCACGCGUUACUCACCCGUCCG
rnacentral:rRNA from 1 species